AGCUCGUGUCGUGAGAUGUUGGGUUAAGUCCCGCAACGAGCGCAACCCUUGCCAUUAAUUGCCAUCAUUUAGUUGGGCACUUUAAUGGGACUGCCGGUGACAAACCGGAGGAAGGUGGGGAUGACGUCAAGUCCUCAUGGCCCUUAUGGCCAGGGCUUCACACGUAAUACAAUGGUCGGUACAGAGAGUUGCCAACCCGCGAGGGGGAGCUAAUCUCAGAAAGCCGAUCGUAGUCCGGAUUGUUCUCUGCAACUCGAGAGCAUGAAGUCGGAAUCGCUAGUAAUCGCGGAUCAGCAUGUCGCGGUGAAUACGUCCCCGGGCCUUGUACACACCGCCCGUCACACCAUGGGAGUGGGUUUUACCAGAAGUAGUUAGUCUAACCGUAAGGGGGACGAUUACCACGGCAGUAUUCAUGACUGGGGUGAAGUCGUAACAAGGUAGCCGUAUCGGAAGGUGCGGCUGGAUCACCUCCUUUCUAGAGAAGAUCACCUGUCUACAAGCAUUCACGCUUAUCAGUCAUCU
rnacentral:rRNA from 1 species